rnacentral:rRNA from 1 species
GAUGGACCCGCGUCUGAUUAGCUGGUUGGUGAGGUAAGGCCCACCAAGGCGACGAUCAGUAGCCGGCCUGAGAGGGUGAACGGCCACAUUGGGACUGAGACACGGCCCAGACUCCUGCGGGAGGCAGCAGUGGGGAAUAUUGCACAAUGGGGGAAACCCUGAUGCAGCAACGCCGCGUGAAGGAUGAAGUAUUUCGGUAUGUAAACUUCUAUCAGCAGGGAAGAAGAAGACGGUACCUGACUAAGAAGCCCCGGCUAACUAC